CUUCCAUGUGCCUGGAUACCAAGGCAGGCAUUGUGACUUAGAAGUGGAUGAAUGUGUGACUGCAUGAAUGAGGCUGUAUGCCUCAAUGAGAAAGGAAGACAUAUGCGUGUCUUUUGUAUCUCCCUCAAGAGUAUUCUGAUGAGAACUGAGUUGUAAAUUGAUGAAUGUGGAUCCCACACAAGUCUACACAUUGACAGACAUCAGGAUGCUGUUGUGCUUACCAUCAUGUCUAUGCACCUGGAUUCUUGAAGACCACUGUCAACUCAACUUUGAUGAAUGUGAUAGUUAGCCAUGUAUCCAUGGGGAUCUAUGUGUGGAUGGAGGAACAUCUACAACUGUGACUGCACAGAUAAUUGUUUCUUAGAGGCCCACUGUGUGACUUUGAUGCUUCUUUGUUAGUCAAAGCUUUGUCACAAUGAUACAACAGAUGAAGACACUGUUGACAGCUAUGUUUGUCACUGCUGGCCUGGAUACACAGGUGCCCUGUGUGGGAGGGGCAUAAAUGAGUGCAGUAGCAACACCUGCCAGUUUGCUGAGGAAUAUGCCAAGCAGUCCUCCAAGGAUCAAUUGGGACCUAUUCCAGGCCUGCCUUCCUCCUUCAACUACUUUGGAGCCACAGGCUAUGUUUAUAUAUUUUGGUCUGGAUUCACAGACAGGA
rnacentral:lncRNA from 1 species